GUUGUAUAGUUAAGUGACUAAGCGUACACGGUGGAUGCCUUGGCAAUCAGAGGCGAAGAAGGACGUGCUAAUCUGCGAUAAGCUUGGGUGAGUUGAUAAGAAGCGUUUAACCCAAGAUUUCCGAAUGGGGAAACCCAGUAGGUGAAGAACCUACUAUCAUUAGUUGAAUACAUAGGCUAAUGAGGCAAACCGGGAGAACUGAAACAUCUAAGUACCCCGAGGAAAAGAAAUCAACCGAGAUUCCGUGAGUAGCGGCGAGCGAAAGUGGAAGAGCCAGUAAGUUAUAGCAGAGGUUUUAGGAGAAUGAGCUGGGAAGCUCAAUCGUAGAGGGUGAUAAUCCCGUAUCUGAAAAAGCCUUUGUGGAACUAAGCUUACGACAAGUAGGGCGGGACACGUGAUAUCCUGUCUGAAGAUGGGGGGACCAUCCUCCAAGGCUAAAUACUCCUGAUUGACCGAUAGUGAACCAGUACUGUGAAGGAAAGGCGAAAAGAACCCCAGCGAGGGGAGUGAAAUAGAACCUGAAACCGUGUACGUACAAGCAGUGGGAGCAAGAGUAAUCUUGUGACUGCGUACCUUUUGUAUAAUGGGUCAGCGACUUAUAUUUUGUAGCGAGGUUAACUGAAUAAGGGAGCCGUAGGGAAACCGAGUCUUAACUGGGCGUCUAGUUGCAAGGUAUAGACCCGAAACCCGGUGAUCUAGCCAUGGGCAGGUUGAAGGUUGGGUAACACUAACUGGAGGACCGAACCGACUAAUGUUGAAAAAUUAGCGGAUGACUUGUGGCUGGGGGUGAAAGGCCAAUCAAACCGGGAGAUAGCUGGUUCUCCCCGAAAUCUAUUUAGGUAGAGCCUUGAGCGGACACCUUCGGGGGUAGAGCACUGUUUCGGCUAGGGGUCCAUCCCGGAUUACCAACCCGAUGCAAACUGCGAAUACCGAAGAGUGAUACUCAGGAGACACACGGUGGGUGCUAACGUCCAUCGUGAAGAGGGAAACAACCCAGACCGCCAGCUAAGGUCCCCAAGUCUAUAUUAAGUGGGAAACGAAGUGGGAAGGCUUAGACAGCUAGGAUGUUGGCUUAGAAGCAGCCACCAUUUAAAGAAAGCGUAAUAGCUCACUAGUCGAGUCGGCCUGCGCGGAAGAUGUAACGGGGCUCAAAUAUAGCACCGAAGCUGCGGCAUCAAUGGAAACAUUGUUGGGUAGGGGAGCGUCGUGUAAGCGGAUGAAGGUGAGUCGAGAGGCUUGCUGGACGUAUCACGAGUGCGAAUGCUGACAUAAGUAACGAUAAAACGAGUGAAAAACUCGUUCGCCGGAAGACCAAGGGUUCCUGUCCAACGUUAAUCGGGGCAGGGUGAGUCGGCCCCUAAGGCGAGGCUGAAAAGCGUAGUCGAUGGGAAACGGGUUAAUAUUCCCGUACUUGGAUAAACUGCGAUGUGGGGACGGAGAAGGUUAGGUUAGCAGACUGUUGGAUGUCUGUUUAAGGCGGUAGGUGGAGAGUUUAGGCAAAUCCGGACUCUCUUAACACCGAGAACUGAUGACGAGGUGCUACGGCACUGAAGUAACUGAUACCACGCUUCCAGGAAAAGCCACUAAGCUUCAGGUUUAUCUAAACCGUACUGAAAACCGACACAGGUGGUCAGGUAGAGAAUACUCAGGCGCUUGAGAGAACUCGGGUGAAGGAACUAGGCAAAAUAGCACCGUAACUUCGGGAGAAGGUGCGCCGGCGUAGAUUGUAGUCCCUCGCGGAUGAAGGUUGAACCGGUCGAAGAUACCAGCUGGCUGCAACUGUUUAUUAAAAACACAGCACUCUGCAAACACGAAAGUGGACGUAUAGGGUGUGAUGCCUGCCCGGUGCUGGAAGGUUAAUUGAUGGUGUUAUCUUUUAAAGAGAAGCUCCUGAUCGAAGCCCCAGUAAACGGCGGCCGUAACUAUAACGGUCCUAAGGUAGCGAAAUUCCUUGUCGGGUAAGUUCCGACCUGCACGAAUGGCAUAAUGAUGGCCAGGCUGUCUCCACCCGAGACUCAGUGAAAUUGAAAUCGCCGUGAAGAUGCGGUGUACCCGCGGCUAGACGGAAAGACCCCGUGAACCUUUACUAUAGCUUGACACUGAACAUUGAAUUUUGAUGUGUAGGAUAGGUGGGAGCCUUAGAAGCAGUCACGCCAGUGAUUGUGGAGGCGUCCUUGAAAUACCACCCUUUAACGUUUGAUGUUCUAACGAAGUAUGGAAACACGUACUCGGACAGUGUCUGGUGGGUAGUUUGACUGGGGCGGUCUCCUCCCAAAGCGUAACGGAGGAGCACGAAGGUUUGCUAAUGACGGUCGGACAUCGUCAGGUUAGUGCAAUGGUAUAAGCAAGCUUAACUGCGAGACAGACAAGUCGAGCAGGUGCGAAAGCAGGUCAUAGUGAUCCGGUGGUUCUGAAUGGAAGGGCCAUCGCUCAACGGAUAAAAGGUACUCCGGGGAUAACAGGCUGAUACCGCCCAAGAGUUCAUAUCGACGGCGGUGUUUGGCACCUCGAUGUCGGCUCAUCACAUCCUGGGGCUGAAGUAGGUCCCAAGGGUAUGGCUGUUCGCCAUUUAAAGUGGUACGCGAGCUGGGUUUAGAACGUCGUGAGACAGUUCGGUCCCUAUCUGCCGUGGGCGUUGGAGAAUUGAGAGGGGUUGCUCCUAGUACGAGAGGACCGGAGUGAACGCACCGCUGGUGUUUCGGUUGUGUCGCCAGACGCAUUGCCGAGUAGCUAAGUGCGGAAGAGAUAAGUGCUGAAAGCAUCUAAGCACGAAACUUGCCUUAAGAUGAGUUCUCCCUGACUAUAAGUCAGUAAGGGUUGUUGAAGACUACGACGUAGAUAGGUCAGAUGUGUAAGUGGUGUGAGCCAUUGAGCUAACUGAUACUAAUUGCCCGAGAGGCUUAACUAUACAACGCUCAAGCGUU
rnacentral:rRNA from 1 species